UUAGUUUUUAUUUAUUAAUUUUUAUUAUUUUUUAAAAAAUUAUUAGAAAUAACUAUAAAUUUAAAAGUUUUAGUAUUGUUUAAAGAAAAAAUAAUUUUAAUAAUAGUUUAAUAGUAUUGUGAAAGAAAAUUGAAAUAAUUUGAAAAAUUUUUAUUUUAAAAGAAAAUUUAAUUUAUUGUACCUUGUGUAUCAGCGUUUAUUAAAUAAAAAAUAAAUAUUUAUUUUUCUCGAUUUUAAAAGAGUUAAUAUAAUAUAUAAGUUAAUGUGACAAAAUUAUUUAAAAUAUUAUAUUAGAAAUGAAAUGUUAUUCGUUUUUAAAGGUAUCUAGUUUUUUAAGAAAUAAAUUUAAUUUAGAAAUUAUAAAUUUAUUUAAUUAAUUAAAUAAAUUAAAUAAUUUAUAAUUUUAAUAUUUUAUGGGAUAAGCUAUAAAAUAAAUUUUUAAAAAUAAUAAAUAAGUUUAAUAAAUAUAUGUUUAGAAUUAGCAAUUAUUAAAAAUUUUGUUAUAAAUUAUUUUAUAAAUUAAAUUAUUUAUUAAAUUUUAAUUAUUUAUUAAAAUAUUAAUUUUAAUUAUUAAAAUUAAGUAAUAAUGAUAGAAUUAGUAUAUUAUAAUGUUAAAAUAAAUUUUAAUGAAAAGUUUAAGUAAAGAAUUCGGCAAAAAUAAUGUUCGCCUGUUUAACAAAAACAUGUCUUUUUGAAUUAAAUAUAAAGUCUAACCUGCCCACUGAAAAUUUUAAAUGGCCGCAGUAUUUUGACUGUGCAAAGGUAGCAUAAUCAUUAGUCUUUUAAUUGAAGGCUGGAAUGAAUGGUUGGACGAAAUAUUAACUGUUUCAUUUAAAUUUUUUAUAGAAUUUUAUUUUUUAGUCAAAAAGCUAAAAUAUAUUUAAAAGACGAGAAGACCCUAUAAAUCUUUAUAUUUUAUUUAUUUUAAUUAUGAAGAUUAAUUUGAUUUUAAUAAAUUAAAAUAUUUUAUUGGGGUGAUAUUAAAAUUUAAAAAACUUUUAAUUUUUAAAAACAUUAAUUUAUGAAUAAUUGAUCCAUUAAUAAUGAUUAAAAAAUUAAGUUACUUUAGGGAUAACAGCGUAAUUUUUUUGGAGAGUUCAUAUCGAUAAAAAAGAUUGCGACCUCGAUGUUGGAUUAAGAUAUAAUUUUGGGUGAAGCCGUUCAAAUUUUAAGUCUGUUCGACUUUUAAAUUCUUACAUGAUCUGAGUUCAAACCGGUGUAAGCCAGGUUGGUUUCUAUCUUUAAAAAAUUAUAAUAUUUUAGUACGAAAGGACCAAAUAUUAAAAUAAUUAUAUUUUAAAAUAUGAAUAUUAUUAAUAUAA
rnacentral:rRNA from 1 species